rnacentral:lncRNA from 1 species
CAGCAGCCAAAAAGGCAGCAUACGAAGGGAGGAUACCUUUUAUUUGGGUGGUAUAUAGGCAAAUGACAGCUCUGUGUAGACAAUUUUUUUUACCUACUCUUGUUCACAGCCUCUGCAACCUGGAACUUCGAAUCAGGAGGACGCCAGACUUGGAGCGGCCGCUGCAAACAUCGAAAUUCAAAACACCACCCGCUGUGUCAAUCAAAAGGCAUCUAUUGCAUCCAGUGAUGAGUCUUCUUGUAAACGCUUUCAUACCAGCAUGUCAAGGAAACGAGGCUCACCAACUGGACCUCAGAGAAGAAAAGGGGAAAGGGUGUGGGGUGUAAGUUCCUGCAAACUGGACAAAAGGUGUUCAGCUAGCUUCAGAAGUACCACGACCAAACUCACGUCGACAACUCCUCCCACUUUUACCCCUCAAGUCCCCCUACAAACAGAUUUUGCGAGGUGCUCUUCAAGGAAACAAAGCAAAUCAGGUACCAUAGCGGUGAUCAGAGCCGCAGAAGAACUCAGCCCAUACUAUCUUAUGGAGAUAGUGGAACCCCCUCAUGAUACCGAGAUGCCAAUAAAGGAUAGUUAUGGGAAUUCGUUCUCUGAGGGUUUGAGUGUGGCAUCAGGCCACUACCUCGAGCUCAUUCCUAGGUCCUCAGACACCUACUACGUGGAUGAUUCCAGAACCGCCACGGUGUAUAGUAGAUGCCUUCUUACCGAUUGUGUUGGGCGACCUCCAGUCUACCGGAGUCCGAAAGAUAUGUGGUAAAGAUAGACUAACACGGAAAAUAUCCCUGCAGGACCAUGAAGAUAUUUUAGCCUUCCUGAACUCGAGUCUCCAUGACCUGUGAAACUGUCAAUGUUAAUAUCAGCUUUCCACUACAAUAGAUCAUUCAUUGUCAUCUCAUCACUUUCAUUAUCACUUUCACUAUCAAUUUGUAACAUUCCAUCAGAGUACCUAUAGAUGACUGUUUUUUGCGAAACGAAAGUGAAAAUGAAAAUGAAUUCUAAUAGUGAAAGUCAAAUUAGAACGCUGUAUGAAACAUCGGUGGAGCUGCAAUGGCAUUAAAAUAGGGGGGGGGGG